GACGGAGGAUGCAAGUGUUAUCCGGAAUCACUGGGCGUAAAGCGUCUGUAGGUGGUUCGAAAAGUCCACUGUUAAAAAUUGAGGCUUAACUUCAAAGAUGCCGUGGAAACUUUCAAACUAGAGUAUGGUAGGGGUAGAGGGAAUUUCCAGUGGAGCGGUGAAAUGCGUAGAUAUUGGAAAGAACACCGAUGGCGAAGGCACUCUACUGGGCUAUUACUGACACUCAGAGACGAAAGCUAGGGGAGCAAAUGGG
rnacentral:rRNA from 1 species